AAGAGACUCUUUUGAAAGUAAAGCAACUUGAAAGCAUGGUGGAAGAGUUGCAAACCAAGAAGGUUGAUGCUGAACAGGAGAGUGCAGGGCUAAAUGAGGCGAAGUUGAAGCUUACUCAAGAACUGGCCUUAAUUGAAUCUAAUUUGAGUGAUCUCCAGGCCAAGUUGUCAGCUGCAAACGUUGAAAGAGAUGAAACUGCUGAACGGCUUCAGACAGCAGAGGGUCAGAUUAAAUUGGUUGAAGCAAAGGCUCUGGAAGCUUCUACAAAUGCAGAAGCUCAUAAGAGUCAGCUCGAAGAGACUCUUUUGAAAGUAAAGCAACUUGAAAGCAUGGUGGAAGAGUUGCAAACCAAGAAGGUUGAUGCUGAACAGGAGAGUGCAGGGCUAAAUGAGGCGAAGUUGAAGCUUACUCAAGAACUGGCCUUAAUUGAAUCUAAUUUGAGUGAUCUCCAGGCCAAGUUGUCAGCUGCAAACGUUGAAAGAGAUGAAACUGCUGAACGGCUUCAGACAGCAGAGGGUCAGAUUAAAUUGGUUGAAGCAAAGGCUCUGGAAGCUUCUACAAAUGCAGAAGCUCAUAAGAGUCAGCUCG
rnacentral:misc_RNA from 1 species